rnacentral:rRNA from 1 species
GACGAACGCUGGCGGCGUGCUUAACACAUGCAAGUCGAACGGAAAGGUUCCAGCUUGCUGGAGUACUCGAGUGGCGAACGGGUGAGUAACACGUGGGUAAUCUGCCCUGCACUCUGGGAUAAGCCUGGGAAACUGGGUCUAAUACUGGAUAUGACCUUUCUCCUUAUGGGGUUUGGUGGAAAGUUUUUCGGUGUAGGAUGAGCCCGCGGCCUAUCAGCUUGUUGGUGGGGUGAUGGCCUACCAAGGCGACGACGGGUAGCCGGCCUGAGAGGGUGAUCGGCCACAUUGGGACUGAGAUACGGCCCAGACUCCUACGGGAGGCAGCAGUGGGGAAUAUUGCACAAUGGGCGGAAGCCUGAUGCAGCGACGCCGCGUGAGGGAUGACGGCCUUCGGGUUGUAAACCUCUUUCAGCAGGGACGAAGCGUAAGUGACGGUACCUGCAGAAGAAGCACCGGCUAACUACGUG